rnacentral:lncRNA from 1 species
UCAUAAAACACACAAACUGUAUUUGCUCUGAAAUUGAGCUUUGUAGAGCAUGAACUCCUGCAGAGCUAAGGGAUAAAGUAGACUGUGCUGUACCACAGGCAGGAUUCAUGUGAGUCAGUGGCUUUGGAAUUGUGGCAUUAAUUGGCCGAGUUCUACAGAAAGCUUUUACCUACUCUGAUGAGAUCAAUUUUGGUCCAUUUCCUUCUUGUCUCAGGCUCAUUCAUCAAUCCUGAGUAAUCAACAAACAGUUUUUAAAAAAGAGAUCAAAUUCAUUGCUGCUUAGGUCUGAUUAGUUAAAAACAAACAAACAAAAAGCAAACGAAUGAAAAAAAACCUACGAAGCCCCACAAAAUUGUGUCUUACUCAUUUUUUUUAGUUUUAAUGGAGAAUGGGGAACAAGUUUAGGUCAUGGCUGUAAGAGUGUUUUAGUGUGAAGUCAGAAUACUUCAAGCAAAUUAUUGCUUUUCCCCUUUGUGUUUUAUAAUUUUCACUUUUGUAUUUCUUUUAUGGAUUACAGUCUUUUAGCUAUGCUUCUUUUGCAUUUCUGGGUCCACAGUCAUGGCCACUGUUAACUCUGCAGAGUUCUUUUGUUAAAAGACAUUUCUAGAACCUGCUUUUUGGUGUUGAUUUCCUUUGUGAUUAAACAAUAUCAGGAUAGAUUUACUUAGAACUUGUGUGGGUCUAAAUUUGGAAAAAGUUUUACCUAUUGAAAAAAAAUUGCACAAUGUGAGAGUUGGGAGUUAAAUUUUAACUUACUUGGGGCAAAAUGAGGGCUGCAGCCCGGGAGACAGGUUUCAGAUAGCUCUGAGAAACCCCUCCAAGGAGGUGAGGGGAGGGGCUAGGAUAUAUAGGAGUUCCGCAGCAAAAGGCCGGCAGAACAUUAGGAGGUUACCGCUGACUAAAGAAGCCAGAUAGUCAGGUUUAGGACUUCAGCUGAUGACUCUGACAUCUUUGUUUACUGAUAUGGCAGGACACACUUCAUGUCUUCAGCUGUUCCAUUUCUUAUACACUGCGUAGAAAGAGCUCAGGGUACAUAUCUGGGUCAUUUGACAGACAUCUCCUGAAUUGGCAUUCAGUUUCUAAGUUUCUCUUAAUAGCUACUGAAAACACUAUUAUAUAAAACUCAGCAGUAAACUUAUUUACCCUUCGAUAAGCAAGUAUAUAUUAGGCAGCACAAAUACAAAAACUCUUGCCUUAGGCAUAGCUUUUUAGUAGUCCUAGAGACUUAAUUCUCCUUCUUGAUGGUUAUCAGAACCUCAGUUCUGAUAACCUCAGUUCAGAACCUCAAAGAAAAAUAGAAUGAUCCUUCAAAAGUUAUUUUUUGUGUGUUUAUAUUGAAGCCCAGGUUUAUGGAGGGUAAGGUCCCAUGUAUAAAGUAUGAUAAGUCAUUGGAAAAAAAUGAUUUGCCCUCAGUAAGAUCUUAAUCUCUGUUUUUCUAAAUUAGAAUCGGUACGUGAUUUCCUCCAAAAAAUAGAAUACUUCUUCAGGUACUCAUUCAGGAUCAUGAGUAAACAGAACCUUGUCAAACCUUGUACAGUUUAAGUGAAAAGAAUAAAAUAUAAUCUUUUUCUUCAGUAAGGUUCUUUGCUUUUUUUGGCUUAGCAGGUCUUGUUAAAGCAUUACCAAAUAGCUAUUAAAUUAAGAUCUAGAGUAGAUUAGUUCUCUAAUUUCUUCACAACCUUGUCUUUUGAAGCCCCUAUUUAAGCUAAUUCGUAUUUUAGACUGAAGAUUGCAGACUACAGCCUAUGGCCCAAAACCAGCCCACAACCUGGUUUUGUGUCUGGAGGUAAGAGUUGUCUUUCCAGUUUUUAAAAGGUUAAAAGAAGACACUACAAGAUUGUGGAGGUUGUUUGUACGGCACAAAACGUC